rnacentral:rRNA from 1 species
GUGGGGAAUAUUGGACAAUGGGGGCAACCCUGAUCCAGCCAUGCCGCGUGAGUGAAGAAGGCCCUAGGGUUGUAAAGCUCUUUCAGAUGUGAGGAUGAUGACAGUAGCAUCAGAAGAAGCACCGGCUAACUUCGUGCCAGCAGCCGCGGUAAUACGAAGGGUGCUAGCGUUGUUCGGAAUUACUGGGCGUAAAGGGCGUGUAGGCGGAUGAUCAAGCUAGAGGUGAAAGCCCAGGGCCUAACCCUGGAACUGCCUUUAGAACUGAUUGUCUAGAAUCCGUAAGGGGAGUGUGGAAUUCCUAGUGUAGAGGUGAAAUUCGUAGAUAUUAGGAAGAACACCAGUGGCGAAGGCGGCACUCUGGUACGGUAUUGACGCUGAGGCGCGAAAGCGUGGGGAGCAAACAGGAUUAGAAACCCCAGUAGUCC